rnacentral:tRNA from 1 species
UCCCUGGUGGCUCAGAUGGUAAAGCAUUUGUCUGCAGUGCAGGAGACCUAGGUUUGAUCCCUGGAUUGGGAA